rnacentral:lncRNA from 1 species
AUCCGCUGCACUACUGUAUUUAUCAAAAAGGAAGGUUAUAUUUAUCAAAAAAAGGUUUUGUUUAUUAAGAACAAGGAAAAAGGAAACUGCCAAAAAUCACGUGUUGACUUAGGGUUGAAUCAGAGGCAAUUUCUCCACCAAAAAGAUGAAGGUAACCGUUACUACGCGGAGCGGCAAAGAGGUAGAACUGAAUCUGAUGAUGAUGUUCUGUUUAUGGUGGCCGGCGGCGGCAGCGUAUUUCCGGCAGAUUUGAGAUUUGAAAAAGAAUGGCUGGAAUAGAUCGAUGGGAACGAUUGUGGUUGAGAUAAUUGUAGAUGAUGAACAGGCUAUCCAAGGAUCAGAAACUCUGCUUUGAUACCAUGUUGUUUGGUAUAGAGAAUAAUCUCUGAAUUGAGUUUGAAUUGUAUUGAUAGUAAUGUGUUGUGUUAAAAAAGAUUACAUAGAGAUGGUGUAUAUAUAGAACACCAUAUUACACUCUAGCCUCUAUACUAUCUUUUUUCUUCUUUUCAACAGCUAUGUGUUGCAUAUCACUAUUACUUGUAAUUUAAAA